rnacentral:tRNA from 1 species
AAAAAGAUAAGCUAAUUAAGCUAAUAGGUUCAUACCCUUUUUAUGGUAGUAAUAAUCUCCCUCUUUUUA